UCCCUUAAGUCCAAUCACUAUGUAUACAAAUCAUAAAAACUUCAAGCACUUCAUGCUAGUAUAUAUUUGGAAUUGUUGCAAAUCUCGAUAGAAUAUAUCUUUAUGAAGAUUAUCUACUAUUGUUCUCAUUGUGUUCAAGCUUCAAUAUACCAAAGCAAUUAAAGUAAUAGAGAUGGAUUCAAACACAAAGAAAGAAUGGUUAUAUAAAUUGGGUCUGUUAGUAUCACAAUUGACUGUACUCUUGCUAUCAAAAAUCAAUUAUCAAACUCCAAAACACCAAGGCUUACUACUCUCGUCUUAAUUCAACACAUAAUCCAUUCUACGAAUAUCAAUUCAACAAUAUUUCUAUAUUUUUAUUAGUUCAUCUUCCACUUACUUUCUUUGUGGUUUAUAUA
rnacentral:lncRNA from 1 species